rnacentral:rRNA from 1 species
AGAGUUUGAUCCUGGCUCAGGAUGAAUGCUGGCGGCGUGCCUAACACAUGCAAGUCGAGCGGCAGCGAGUUUUACACUGAAUUCUGGAAGCUUCUGGGUAAUAUAGAAGAUCUAUUCAAGAAUUUUGUGUAAAAUGUCGGCGAGCGGCGGACGGCUGAGUAACGCGUAGGAAUUUGCCCCAAAGUGAGGAAUAACUGCCCGAAAGGGUAGCUAAUGCCGCAUAUGGUCUUCGGAUUAAAGCCUUCGGGCGCUUUGGGAGAAGCCUGCGUUGUAUUAGAUAGUUGGUGAGGUAAUGGCUUACCAAGUCGAUGAUGUGUAGCUGGUCUGAGAGGAUGAUCAGCCAGACUGGAACUGAGACACGGUCCAGACUCCUACGGGAGGCAGCAGUGAGGAAUCUUCCACAAUGGGCGAAAGCCUGAUGGAGCAACGCCGCGUGAAGGAUGAAGGCCUUCGGGUUGUAAACUUCUUUUAUGAGUGAAGAAUAUGACGGUAACUCAUGAAUAAGCACCGGCUAACUACGUGCCAGCAGCCGCGGUCAUACGUAGGGUGCAAGCAUUAUCCGGAGUGACUGGGCGUAAAGAGUUGCGUAGGCGGUUUAAUAAGUGAAUAGUGAAACCUGGUGGCUCAACCAUACAGACUAUUAUUCAAACUGUUAAACUCGAGAAUGGUAGAGGUAACUGGAAUUUCUAGUGUAGGAGUGAAAUCCGUAGAUAUUAGAAGGAACACCGAUGGCGUAGGCAGGUUACUGGGCCAUUUCUGACGCUAAGGCACGAAAGCGUGGGGAGCGAACCGGAUUAGAUACCCGGGUAGUCCACGCCGUAAACGAUGGAUACUAGCUGUUGGAGGUAUCGACCCCUUCAGUAGCGAAGCUAACGCGUUAAGUAUCCCGCCUGUGGAGUACGGCCGCAAGGCUAAAACAUAAAGGAAUUGACGGGGACCCGCACAAGCGGUGGAUUAUGUUCUUUAAUUCGAUGAUAACCGAAGAACCUUACCAGGGCUUGACAUCCAGGGAAGGUCUGCGAAAGUAGACUGUGCCUUUUGGAACCCUGUGACAGGUGAUGCAUGGCCGUCGUCAGCUCGUGUCGUGAGAUGUUAGGUUAAGUCCUGCAACGAGCGCAACC